GUACGACAUUGUUGUCUUUGGUGAGAUUGAUGGUUUUUCUCGUAAGGGUACGUGCCGAUCAAGGGGUGGAAAACGUGACGGUUGCACAACUCGUGUUUAUGGUUCGUGGGACUUUUCAUAUCUGGAAAGAGUGUUCACCAUCAAAGGGAUUGAGCAACUGUAGAGAGACCUGUAGGCAGCUGUAACAUGCAUCUAUUUUAACGUUCUUCGUUACCUUGAAGAAGAGGGUUACCUCAAAUGUGGCACACCUCUUCUGUUGCCAUUAUGUCUUCCUGCCACGCCUGCCGGAUGAUCUGGAUACUUUCCACAGUGGCUGGGACAAUCAUCCCCUUCAAACAGAAAGUAACACGACUCUUAACCAGCUCUGGGUUCUUGGUCGAACACAUCAUCUGAUUCCUGAACCAACUAAUUCCUUGACCGAGGGUGUACAGAUUCCAGAAAUUGAAUGGGAAGACAGGGGGUUUCCUCCUCAGGACCAUUCAGGCGUUACUGUUCAGAACGCAAAUCUUGAACUGGCUGAUGAAUAAACAGCAGCUUUAAGAGAUGCAGUUAAUCCAAGAGCUGCAUCCCAGUCCUUUGGCUGUGUUAUUUACAUUGCUGCAGUUCAAUUUUGUGAACAGUUUUUUACUCUGUGAAAUAAGUC